CGGACGGGUGAGUAAUGUCUGGGAAACUGCCCGAUGGAGGGGGAUAACUACUGGAAACGGUAGCUAAUACCGCAUAACGUCGCAAGACCAAAGAGGGGGACCUUCGGGCCUCUUGCCAUCGGAUGUGCCCAGAUGGGAUUAGCUAGUAGGUGGGGUAACGGCUCACCUAGGCGACGAUCCCUAGCUAGUCUGAGAGGAUGACCAGCCACACUGGAACUGAGACACGGUCCAG
rnacentral:rRNA from 1 species